UCUUCUAAGUUGCGUCAGGCUGAGGCCAGAGCACAGAGGAAACGGAAGGCAAAAUCUGCUAGCCGUAAUACGAAUAAGCCGUAUGAACGUCCAGGUCUUGGGCGGGGAAGCGGAGGCAACACGGGGAACGUCGAUCUUUUUCGAGGCUUUCAAAGUACUGGAGAAAUGGGAGAGUUCCCUUUCUACGCCCAAAGAGGAGCGGUUAACGGAAGUAUGCCUGGAGCGCCCGGGGGUUUCCAUCCCUCCUCAGCAGGACCGGUCAACAAACAAAACUCGACCUGUUUCUACUGCUACGGGGCCGGACACUGGGCCAGCAACUGCCCGAGGAGAGUCAGAACCACCCCAACCCACACCCAGAGUGUCCCCGCAAUCAAACAAUGAAGAUCAGAAGAUGAACACUGUGUUAUUAGGGCCAGUUUGGUCAGAGGUUGAGGAUAUGAAAGGCCAUCCUUUGCUUUGUGAAGCAGCAUCUAAAUUGGAAUCUGUGUUAAAGGCCAGCCAUGCUUCUUCUACAGACAAGCAAUACUGUUCGAAUUUCGCUAAAUUUAAAGAUUGGUGUCGUAUUACAGGCCUGGGAUAUCUGCCCUCUAGAAGUAGUACAGUAGCCGUAUAUUUGUCUUAUUUGGUUCAACAGUCAGUCUCGGUAUCUACCCUUAAUUCACAUUUCUAUAGCAUAAAGUGGCAACAUGAUUUCGCAGAUUUGCCUAAUCCAUGUACAGACAAGUUUGUUUUAAAAUCUUUAGAAGGAGCUAAACGUAUUCUUUCUAAGCCUAUUUUUAAAAAAUCUCCCAUUUCUGUGGAACAUAUAGAGUCCAUUUUUAGAAAGUACGGAAACUCGGAAAACGUUAAGGAUUUACGGUUAUGCACUUUGUGCAUUUUAGGAUUUGCAGGGUUUUUCAGAUUCAGUGAACUAGUCGAUUUAAAAAUGUCAAAUUGCGUUUUGAAAAGUUCACACCUUGAAAUUACACUUGUUCAUAGCAAAACAGAUGUCUAUCGUCAAGGCAAUGUUGUGGUGAUUGCGAAAACAGGGAAGAAAACUUGUCCAGUUGCUUGUUUUGUGAAAUACAUUACAGCUGCCGGGUUAAGUUUUGGUGCAGAUUCAUACAUUUUCAGAGCUGUUUCCUUUUGUAAAUCUACAGGAACAUAUAAGUUAUGUAGUCGAAAUCAAGCUCUUUCUUACACUAGAGUUAGAGAGAUUUUUCUGGGCGCAAUUUCGGAAAUUGGACUAAAAAAGUCAGAAUUUGGUCUACAUAGCUUGAGGGCUGGUGGCGCCACUAUAGCCGCUAACAAUGGCAUUUCAGAGAGAUUAUUUAAAGCACAUGGCAGAUGGGCCAGCGAGAAAGCAAAGGAUGGUUAUGUUUUGGAUGAUCUUGAUCAUAAAAUUUCUGUUUCCGCUAAUCUUGGCAUUUAAAAUUUUAUUCCUUUGAUGUUCGAAAUAUUGCUGUACACGAAUCUCGCAGGCUAUUAAAUUGUAAAAACAAUUGUUUGGUUUAUGUUAUUAUUGCUAAAUAGAUACGAAAUGAUUUAUGUACGGAUGAGGAACGAAGGAGAACAUAAAUGAAUUUCGUUUCGUUUGUAGUGUAGUUCUUAAAUUCGUGCUACAGGUGUAGUGUAGCACUUCGCACGUGCAUUUAGUGUGUAUUAGCAUUCGACGAGAUCGUUCACAGCAGUACGGACGUGUAUUUUUUUUUUUUUUUUUAUAUAUAACAAUAUAUAUAUGUAUGUAUAUAUACAUAUAUAUAUUAUAAGAAGUCACGGUUGGUUGAGAUAUAUUCAUAUUCCAGUGACAGUGUUUUAAGUGUGGCGUUCGGGAAUGUGUAUUGGACUGAUUGAGUGGACUCUGAAGUACAUUCCUGAAUUUCGUCAAGUGCGCGAAUCUUGUGAAACAUGAAAUAUUGCUGUACACGAAUCUCGCAGGCUAUUAAAUUGUAAAAACAAUUGUUUGGUUUAUGUUAUUAUUGCUAAAUAGAUACGAAAUGAUUUAUGUACGGAUGAGGAACGAAGGAGAACAUAAAUGAAUUUCGUUUCGUUUGUAGUGUAGUUCUUAAAUUCGUGCUACAGGUGUAGUGUAGCACUUCGCACGUGCAUUUAGUGUGUAUUAGCAUUCGACGAGAUCGUUCACAGCAGUACGGACGUGUAUUUAUUUUUUAUUUUUUAUAUAU